rnacentral:rRNA from 1 species
UUGACCUCAGAUCAGGUAGGAAUACCCGCUGAACUUAAGCAUAUCAAUAAGCGGAGGAAAAGAAACCAACAGGGAUUGCCCUAGUAACGGCGAGUGAAGCGGCAACAGCUCAAAUUUGAAAUCUGGCGCAAGCCCGAGUUGUAAUUUGUAGAGGAUGUUUCUGGCGACGUGCCUUCCGAGUUCCCUGGAACGGGACGCCAUAGAGGGUGAGAGCCCCGUACGGUUGGUUGCCUAGCCUCUGUGAAACUCCUUCGACGAGUCGAGUAGUUUGGGAAUGCUGCUCUAAAUGGGAGGUAUACGUCUUCUAAAGCUAAAUACCGGCCAGAGACCGAUAGCGCACAAGUAGAGUGAUCGAAAGAUGAAAAGCACUUUGAAAAGAGGGUUAAAUAGUACGUGAAAUUGUUGAAAGGGAAGCGUUUAUGACCAGACUUGAGCAGGUUGAUCAUCCGUGGUUCUCCGCGGUGCACUCUGCCUGUUCAGGCCAGCAUCAGUUUGGUUCGGGGGAUAAAGGCUUCGGGAAUGUAGCUCCCUCGGGAGUGUUAUAGACCGUUGCGUAAUACCCUGAUCCGGACUG